rnacentral:rRNA from 1 species
AUUGAACGCUGGCGGCAGGCCUAACACAUGCAAGUCGAGCGAGCGGCAGACGGGUGAGUAAUGCCUGGGAAUUGCCCAGUCGAGGGGGAUAACAGUUGGAAACGACUGCUAAUACCGCAUACGAUUGGAUUGCCCAGGUGGGAUUGGCUAGUUGGUGAGGUAAUGGCUCACCAAGGCGACGAUCCCUAGCUGGCCUGAGAGGAUGAUCAGCAACACUGGAACUGGUAAACUGGCCAGACUCCUAAGGGUGGCAGCAGUGGGUAAUAUUGCACAAUGGGGUAAACCCUGAUGCAGCCAUGCCGCGUGUGUGAAGAAGGCCUUCGGGUGGUAAAGCACUUUCAGCGAGGAGGCGUUACUCGCAGAAGAAGCACCGGCUAACUACGUGCCAGCAGCCGCGGUAAUUC